UACGAAGGGUGCUAGCGUUGUUCGGAAUUACUGGGCGUAAAGCGCGCGUAGGCUGUUUGACAAGUCAGAGGUGAAAGCCCUGGGCUCAACCCAGGAAUUGCCUUUGAAACUGUCAGACUAGAGUGUCGGAGGGGAUAGCGGAAUUCCUAAUGUAGAGGUGAAAUUCGUAGAUAUUAGGAGGAACACCGGUGGCGAAGGCGGCUAUCUGGACGACAACUGACGCUGAGGCGCGAAAGCACGGGGAUCAAACAGG
rnacentral:rRNA from 1 species